GCUUCAUCUAUUUGAAUAAAUAACAGUGUCAGGAAACGUUCCCAGGCACUUGAACCUCAUAACCCGUAUUUUUCAAUUGUUAGAGCAAUUUCAUGCAUGGUUUGGACCCAGUCCAAGCAGCACUCUCCUAAAACAAUUCUUGGGCACAGGGUAUGAACUCACAGCGUCCAGGGACUUUUCCCCAUUGGUAGUUUGGCUGUUGGUACCUAUUCUGAAGGCUGAGAGAGCUUAAUACGGAAAUGGGUUAUUCCUUGCCAGCUGUGAUGAGCACCAGAAGGAGGUCAUGGCCUACAUAAGAUCACUAGCUGUCCAGUCAAUGCUUUGCAAGUUUCCUAGAGCUGGAUUCAUAGAAGAAUCAUGGCAAACAGGGCUGAAAAGGAACUGAAGAGAUCAUCUUGGGUCCAUUUCUUGUGACACGCACUCUUUUCACUAAAUAGAUUUUAUACUGUGGCAGCUGACAAGGGUUCUGGUGAAAAUGCACCAUCAAGCUGGACAAGUGGGAUAAAGACAUGGGCUAACAGACUGACAAGUACAGUUCUUCAGAAUUUAUAACAAGAUCCAAGGCCUCCAUGCUGCUCAAGACCUUUAUUCGGACCUGCUUGAUGCUGACUGGGCACAUUUGAGGAUAAGUCCUGAGCUGAAGAAGCCAAGCACUUGUAAAAGCUGCAAUGUAUUUGCCAAGUCUAAUAUUUUCAAAUUGAAGGGAGGCUUCUGUCAGGAGAACAAUGGGCCAGAAGGAUCCCAAAGAGUUUGGGAUCCUCUGCUUCCAGGACAGCAGCUGUCCCAGAGCCUCUUGUACAAGCAAAUAUUCAAAAUGAAAAUAAUAAAAUUCAUUGUUACAGGUAGGCCUGUACAUGUUGUACCUGAUACAUCAUUUCUUUAGUAUUGUAGAACAUUUCCAGAUGUGAAUUGUCUAAGCAGAUAUCUCCA
rnacentral:lncRNA from 1 species